rnacentral:rRNA from 1 species
AGGCCUUGGGGAAAUGCACCUGGUGCAGCAGCUAAUCGAGUGGCUUUAGAAGCCUGUGUACAAGCUCGUAACGAAGGGCGCGAUCUUGCUCGCGAAGCUUGUGAAGUAUGGAAGGCGAUCAAAUUCGAGUUCGAGCCGGUAGAUACUAUUGAUUAA